rnacentral:tRNA from 5 species
GCGAGCAUGGUGGAAUUGGUAGACACACAAGACUUAAAAUCUUGAGAUCGUAUGAUCGUGGGGGUUCGAGUCCCCCUGCUCGCACCA